ACACAUAUCUUGCAGUGGAAAUACCAUGUCAUAAGAGUGCUUUUCCUAAGGAGAGUCUCAUCCAUUGUACUUCAGGUGUGCUGUUGAUUCUUAUGAUUUCCCCAAAUGUGGGGAAUUCAAAUGCAUAAUUUGUGUUAAUUAUAGAUUGCAUUUGUAAUUUCCCU
rnacentral:snRNA from 1 species